GGGAGGCCCGCGCGAGGCGGGGAGCGAGCCGGAAUUAUGGCACGUCCCGAAAUUGUGUUGGCUAUUCGUUCGUUUUUCCCCUUGUGAACACCUAAAAACAAAUAAUAUAACAACGACUAAAGGUUUAAUACAGUUGAAACUGCUAUGUUUUCUCUGGCAAUGACUCAUCCAUCUGUAACUAGAGCAAAAAUUCCAGGCAGGUACAAUGUCUCUCUUCUCCCCAAGAGAAAGUAAAGGAAGUGCUUGGUGCCAUCGUCCUUCCAGAAGGCUGAUCAUCCCAGUUUGGUGACCCGGACCACCAGAGCUAAGUGCUGGGGGGCUUCCCGACGCGAGGAGGUAGGCAAGGGAGCCCCGAUACACCUCGUCUGUGGGCUGCGGGAUGGCGACGAGAGGAAAUCCCGGGCAUCCUCACCCCUGCCGAGCUGAGGAUGCACACCCGGCUCCUCGGAAGGCUGCGCCCAGGAGCAGAUGGGGACAGACGGGUUACGUGACAUGCUCGGGAUCACAUGAGCAGUCUGUGUCAGGGUGAGAAACUGCACCUGGAUCUCAGUUGUGAGGCUGUUGCUCUGGCACUGCGUCAUCCUCACUGCAAACGCAACACCAGGAUUGACUUUGCCUGUGUCCUUCCUAUGGCUACCAAUGUGCCCACCUGCUGACUGCAGAGCCAGCACUCCGCACUGCGUGCCCAAGGCAAGCCUGGAACUUCCUCACGAGGUCUGAAACCUUCAGCAUCGUGGCCAGAGAGACUAAUAGGGGAAUUUUAAGGCUUUGAGUCUGCAGUGACCCAGCCCGGUGGAUCCUCUGGAAGGGCAGGAAUCCUAAAGAGAGGAAAGGAUAAAAGAGGAGGAAUGAGGCUACCAGACCAACAGACAGUACAGUAUGGUAUUGUCAGAGCUGGCACCAGGAAAGGCUUUGACUAGUUUGAGUAGGAGGAAGAAAUAAGGAAGAAGAAGGGGUAAGGUUAUCUGCAUGGAGUGCUAGGUACAGGCAUGGUCAUUUCUAGAGAGCAUGAGUAGUUCAGUCAACAGGAGGGGUCAGGCACAUGCCAAAAUACACAUUAGCACAAUGGCCUAUAGUAGGUUGAAUUCACAGAAGGCGGUUGAGUUUCACUAGGUAAGACUUUGGCAAAGCAUUUGGCCUGCUCUGGCCCCACAGUCAGACCUGGUGGAUUUCCAGCCAUUUUCUUUCUUAUUUUCUCUAGUCACACUAUUGUACUUCAGGCCCCUGUGAAUUAAUCUGCCAUGCCCUCAGAUGCCUUGAAGCUCACUCUUGCUGCAGGGGCCUGGCUGCAGAUAUAGCAGCUGCUCCUGGCCAGGGAGGCAUCCAUCAAGUCCCCUGAAUCCCUCCUUUCCUGUGGAAAACAAAGCUCCUGGAAAUGCUGGUCAGAACAGUGGUGGUCUUUGUGGGAGACACUGGGGCAUUCUCAGCUGGAAAGGCUUGGCAGAGCAGAUGCGUCCCCUGUGCCUGGAACUAGCCCGUGUAAUUGCAGUUGAGGAAAGAAGCAGGAAGGUGCAGUGGUGGGAGGUGACAACUCUGCAUGAGCACUUGGACAGGCAGCAUUGGGCAUGGCUUGCUAAUUAGCAGAAACAUGCAUAAUCCUAUCGUCUUGCACUGUACCCAUAUUAAUGUGACUGAGCAGCUGUACUCCUAUGAUGGCCUUACCUUUGUAAUCUUCUUACCUAGCGUAUUAGAAGACUUUCAACAGCGAUGCACAGAAAAGCAAAUAGGACAUUGGUGUCAUGACAACCCUGCAGUGGCUCCGUGUGCGUCUCUAAUGGAGGAGACACAAUCUCAGGCACAUGCAGCUGAAGUCUGGAUUUCUCUGCACAGCAGAUUGAGGUUUCCAGGGUCCCAAGAGAUAAUAUCACAAGGUGUGGUGCCCUGAUGGGAGUCUAGCAAGAAAGUAACACUCAUGCACCCACCCACCUUUGGCAGAUCGUCUGAGGGUCCCUCAUUGGCUUUGUGACGGAAAGUGGUUGAUUCACCUCCACCCAGUGGUAAUUACGUGUUGCUGUCUGCUGGAAGUUCCCAUGUUUGGCAUUGGAAUGGUAAGCCUAGAACUCACUGCUGAGAUUAACUGCAAUGUAAAACCAUGAUUUCUUGAUGCCUCUGUUUUAUAUUCUGCCUAGUAAAAGUUACUUAGUGCAUUAUAUCAUUUACCUGCAAUAUUAUAUAAUAAUUAAAAUAUUCCUAAUUGCUGUUACCCUGACAUACUCAUACCUCUCAGCAGCUAUUUGCAUGCAGCCUUCCCAUCAAACAAGAGAGCAGUUCUGGUAGCUGAAGAGUUGGUGAUUUUUUUUGUUGUUUUAUUUUAUUAUUUUAUUUUAUUUUAUUUUAUUUUAUUUUAUUUUUAUUUUCUUUGCCUUUUAAGAGAGUCUUUUUUUUUUUUUUCUCCCUCUUUUUAUUCUAGAUCCUCAUGCAUACAAUAGAGCUCCUUCCAGAGGGGCUUUGCCCGCCCCUGAAAGCUGAUCGUUUUAGCCCCUCAGCUUUAAGACACAAUUACUCCCUUGUCAGUGCAGUUCUUACUGAACCAGGCUGGCUUGGCAGGUCUCCACUCCUUCUUUGUUUAAGUUUAUUUAUUUUUAUAUCAGAAAGGUAGUAAAAUUGACAAAAGAGGUUUAUUCAGACUCUAACUGUACAGUUUACCUCACACACAAAAUAAAACAUCCAGCACA